GUUAGUUACUGUGGAGAUGACGUAGCUUGGAUCUUGAAUGUCCCAGUAUUGUGUUGUUUGGACUAAAGACAUUUUCUUCUGGAGGGAGGAAAGAGGGUCACUUAGAGAGGACAUUCAGGAAGACCUAGUAAUAUGUGCUUUCUGUGCGAGCCUGAAGCCCAGCAUUCCAUACCUAGAUCCCAGGGUGGACGGAGAGAACCAACUCCCAGACGUUGUCCUUUCACCCGUGUGUGUGUGUGUGUGUGUGUGUGUGUGUGUGUGUGUGUGUGUGUGUGUGUGUUAGAGACCCAGGAAACUAAGGACAUUUUCCCAAAGUCUCAGGAAGCUCAGAAAGUUACAAGAUUUACUAGUUCCCUCCUUAAAAUCACAAAAGCAGUAAAGAGUUGUUGGGAUGUUAGGAUAGAGGGGACACUUCCGUGGAGGCUGAAAUACCACAGCUGCCUACACUUUGUCCACUGAGCUCCAGGACUGCAGUUUCAGUGUGUCACUAUGUGGGUGGUUUUUUUGGGUUUUUUUGGGGGGGGGUAUUUUUUUUAGACAAAUAUGCUCCUGGAAUUGUGUUUUGGGUUUGCUGUCAAACCGUAUCUGGCUUGAAAAGACGGUUGUCCCUGUCUUCCUAGGAAUAGUUGCAUACCCAUCCAUCUCCAUGUAAUAAAUAGCUUAGUCCCAGGGUGCCAUUAUUGGGAAUGACAGAACAUUUAAAAGGUGGGCUCAGUUAGGAGAUCUUUAAGUGAUUGGAGAAGUGCUUUAAAAAUGCAUAAGGGGGCCCCACCUCUUCCUCUUCUUGCCUUGUAGUUUGUGGUCCUAGAUGCAUGGUUUGAAACCAUCAUGAAUUCACUGAGCUGGGCUGCCUUGCCAUUGGCCCAAACAGCAUGACCAACUAACCUCGGGAGUGACCCUCCAAGAUGAACCUUUCAUUAUCAGGACCAGCUGUUCCUGCACUGGUCAGCGUUAUUGCCAUCUGGACUGAAUCUAGAAUUACCUGGGAGAUGAAUCUUAGAUCCUGCAUUAACUGAGAUAAAGACCGUCUGAACUGACCGUGACCAUUUCCUGGGCAGAUAGAAGCAUGCUGUCUUCUGAGAGGCUUUACCCAGCAGCUGACUCAGACAGAUACAGAGACCACAACCAAACAGUGGACGGAGCUUGGGGACGAUAAUGGAAGCCUUGUGGCCCUGAAGGGGAUAGAAACUCCACAGGAAAAUCAACAGAGUCAACUAACCUGGACUCUUGAGGCUCUCAGAGACUGAACCAUCAACCAAAGAAUGUACAAGGGUUGAACUUAAGCUUCCCCACACAUAUGUAGCAGAUGUUGAGCUUGGUCUUCAUGUGGGUCCUAAACAACUAAAAUGGGGGCUAUCCAAAAA